GGCCUACGUCACGACGGUCGUGGGGCGGCCUGCAAAGCCGUCGACACCGGGUUCGACUCCCGGGUGGGCCU
rnacentral:tRNA from 1 species